UACGGAGGGUGCAAGCGUUAUCCGGAUUUACUGGGUUUAAAGGGUGCGUAGGUGGGUUGGUAAGUCAGUGGUGAAAUCUUCGAGCUUAACUCGGAAACUGCCAUUGAUACUAUUAAUCUUGAAUCAUCUAGAGGUAAGCGGAAUAUGUCAUGUAGCGGUGAAAUGCUUAGAUAUGACAUAGAACACCAAUUGCGGAGGCAGCUUACUACACAGUUAUUGACACUGAGGCACGAAAGCGUGGGGAUCAAACAGG
rnacentral:rRNA from 1 species